rnacentral:rRNA from 1 species
GAUUAACGCUGGCGGCGUGCAUAACACAUGCAAGUCGAACGAUGAAGUUUAUUAGACUUCUUCGGAAUGAAAAUAAUUGGAAUAGUGGCGGACGGGUGAGUAACGCGUGAGUAACCUGCCUUACACAAGGGGAUAGCCGUUGGAAACGACGAAUAAUACCCUAUGAAACUAUCACUUCGCAUGAAGCGAUAGUCAACGUGUUAUCGGUGUAAGAUGGACUUUCGUCUGAUUAGCUAGUUGGUGAGAAAAAAGCCCACCAAGGCAACGAUCAGUAGCCGGCUUGGGAGAGUGUACCGCCACAUUGGGACAGGGACAAGGCCCAGACUCCUCCGGAAGGCAGCAAGGGUGAAUUAUGCACAAUGCGGGAAACACUGAUGCUGCGGGGCCGCGUGAUUUAGAAGGCCGUCGGGUUGUAAAAAUCUUUUGUAUAGGAAGAAAAUGACAGUACUAUACGAAUAAGGUCCGGCUAAUUACGUG